CAUUAUAGAAAACACGUCGGGGGUUUGAAGCGCUGGCCCUGAAAGAAGGGGCAUGUGCGCGCCCCUGACCCUUUUUUGUCCCACAAAAUACACCUGUGCACCUAGCGAGCGCCUCCCAUAUCGGAGCAGUCCUGAUGCAGAACCCUUUCGGGGGGGAGUCGGGCCCGGGGCGUUCCCUCUUUUUCUUUACACCACUGCCUGUUUAAACGCAUGUCUUUUUUUGAAGCCCUACGGGGCGGAAGCGGAAUACAACUUUCAACAACGGAUCUCUUGGCUUUCGCAUCGAUGAAGGACGCCGCGAACGUGCGAAACGUAAUGUGAAUUGCAGAAUUCAGUGAAUCAUCGAAUCUUUGAACGCAUCUUGCGCUCCUUGGUAUUCCGAGGAGCAUGCCUGUUUGAGUGUCGUGAACUACCUCAACCUCCCCUUGCCUUCUGGCGAGUGGGGUUUGGAUUUGGAUGCUUGCGGCGAAAGGGGAGAAAAGCUCCUCCCGCCGCUCGUCUUUAAAUGCAUCAGCUUGGUCCCUCGAGUCGGUCCAACGAAACGGUGUGAUAAUAAACACUUCGUUGACUGUGGCGCCGUUUUAGGCCGACUUGUUUUUCGGGGGGUUUGCUUACAGUCGUCUUCGGACAAGUUCGCUUUGUUGUCGUCUGACCUCAAAUCAGGUAGGACUACCCGCCGAACUUAAGC
rnacentral:rRNA from 1 species